GAUGAACGCUGGCGGCGUGCUUAACACAUGCAAGUCGAACGGUGGAGGCGGAGCUUGCUCUGCUGGAUCAGUGGCGAACGUGUGUGUAACACGUGAGCAAUCUGCCCCUGACUCGGGGAUAAGCCCUGGAAACGGCGUCUAAUACUGGAUACGAGCUGCGAAGGCAUCUUCAGCAGCUGGAAAGAACUUCGGUCAGGGAUGAGCUCGCGGCCUAUCAGCUAGUUGGUGAGGUAACGGCUCACCCAGGCCUCGACGGAUAGCCGGCCUGAGAGGGUGGCCGGCGCCAAUGGGACUGAGAGACGGCCCAGACUCGAACGGGGGGCAACAGUGGGAAAUCUUACACAGUGGGGGCAAGCGUGAGGCAGAGACGCCGGGUGAGGGAAGACGGCCUUCGGGUUGUAAACCUGUUUUGGCUGAGAAGAAGCGAGAGUGACGGUACCUGAAGAAAAAGCACCGGCUAACUACGUG
rnacentral:rRNA from 1 species